CUACCCUACGGGAGGCAGCAGUGGGGAAUAUUGCACAAUGGGGAAACCCUGAUGCAGCGACGCCGCGUGAGUGAAGAAGUGCCUCGGCACGUAAAGCUCUAUCAGCAGGGAAGAAAAUGACGGUACCUGACCAAGAAGCCCCGGCUAACUACGUGCCAGCAGCCGCGGUAAUACGUAGGGGGCAAGCGUUAUCCGGAUUUACUGGGUGUAAAGGGAGCGUAGACGGUCCUGCAAGCCAGAUGUGAAAGCCCGGGGCUCAACCCCGGAACUGCAUUUGGUACUGUAAG
rnacentral:rRNA from 1 species